ACCAAAAAUAUUCUACCAAGCAAGGCUCUUGUUUCAGAUUCAACAGAGUAAUCAAAAGACAGGCAAAGGCUCAGAGAAUUCAACAGUACCACACCAGCUUUACAACAAAGACUCAUGUAACAUCUCUAGGCAAGAACAAAAAGAAAGACCAAUGGAACACAAUAGGAAGCCCAGAAAUAGACCCAUGCACCUAUGGGGAACUUCAUCUAUACCCAAGGAGUUUGCUUAAUAUAUGUCUCAGCAUUUUCCUCAGCACUUCCAGCCAGCCAACCGGCACAAGCACAGAAAGAAAAUCCGCCGCUGAUUACCACAAAAGGCUUUGAGACCUUUACUUCAACCUGGACGGGCGGGGGAGAAACGGGCAAGCGGCUCCGCGGAGCAACACUGCCCCCUGCAGACCACAGAAACCAAAAUGCCAGCAAGCCCGGAAGAAAAUCGAUCCUUCCCGCUGGGUUUUCGGGCAAAGGACUUAUGGGGAAUGCCCUUGAGGACCAAAGAAAGAAAGGGAACAUCUCGAAGGGGCCCGGGCCAACCGCCCCUGGACCGCGCGAGUUCCGCUCGACCCGCCCACAGAACCACAGCGAGGCGGGCAAGAAGUCAGGACGUCCAGGAAGAUCCGGAGUUGCUGAGGGCUGGUUCUGGGCCUGCCCUGGGGAGCAUUGAGUCCGUUGGCCGUGUCCGACUCUUUGCGACCCCAUGGACUGCAUGCAGCACGUCAGGAGGUUUCCCUGUCCUUCACCAUCUCCCAGAGCUUGCUCAGACUCCUGCCCAUUGAGUCAGUGAUGCCAUCCAACCAUCUUGUCCUCUGUCAUCCCCUUCUCCUGCAGUCAGUCUUCCGCAGCAUGGCAGGCUGUCUUACUCUCGAUCCCAGUGAGCAUUUUCUUUCACUCUUCCACUGGGGAGGAGAAUGUAUCCUGCAAACCAGUGUGCAAGCUACAAUCUGACAGCCUUGAGACCUGAACAUAGGGACACUCUCUGAGGAACCCUGAGAACCCGGAGAGCUGACUCUUCCUCUGUGUGCCCAAGGUCCCAAAGGCAUAUGAGGGCAGUAAUAGCAUCUGCUUCUUGGGUGGUGUCCAGCAUCAACUACCCAGCAGGAUCUUAGCUUGGCACUUGUCCCCAUCAUGUUAUUAUUGUAGGUGGCUCAGAUGGUAAGGAGUCAGCCUGCAGUGCAGGAUAGCCAGAUUCAAUGGCUGGGUUGGGAAGAUCCUCUGGAGAAGGAAAUGGCAACCCACUCCAUUAUUCUUGCCUGGAGAAUCCCAUGGGCAGAGGAGCCUGGCAGGCUACAGUCCAAGGGGUCUUAAAGAAUCAGACACUUCUGAGCCACUUUCACUUCCACUUCACGUAAUGAUUUUGAAGUCAAAACUCACUGUCAUAAUAAAGUUCUCUUUAAACAUACAGGAAUUCCUCAACGAUGGGAAGCAAGACAAGGGUAACCACUCCUUCCACUACAUUCACUAUGUCAGCUUAUAUUAUGUUGUUGGAUUUUUAAGUGUCAGUGCGUCCGGCGAAAGUUCUCACAACGGGCUCUCUGAAGGGCUCAGACGCAGUCUGAAUCAGCCAACCGGCACAAGCGGAGGAAAACAAAAUAAAACCAAACCAGCUGUUUCUUGUGGCCAAAAGCUUCCUGUUAUUUUAUUAAAGCGCGAGGGCGGAGGAAAAAACCGGCCCGGCGACACUGUGGAGCAACACUGCCACCUGCAGGCUACAGAAACCAAAACGCCGCAAGCCCGGAAGAAAAUUCAUCGUUUCUGCUGGGUUUUCCCGCAGAGGACUGGACAGCGUGGACGCGAAAGUUAAGGGGGAUGCCCGUAAGGACCAGAGAAAGGAAGAGAAUCUCUCGACGGGGUCCGGCCAAACCACCCCUGGACAGCGAGCAGUCCGCGGAACCAUAGCAACACGGGCAGGAAGUUAGGGUGUCCGGGAAGAUCCGGAGCUUGGUGGGCGGGGCUGCACUCCGAUUGGCUGGCUCUGGGCAUGCGCGCAGCCACCCAGUGAGGCCCGUGCCAGUCUCUUGGCCCUGGUCGGCUGGGAGUUUUGUCUGGGAACUUGUUUGGAACUCUCCACUGAAGAACCUGACCGGUCGUGACGUCCGGGUCCUGUCGCCCACUGCCGAAGCCCCCCACGUGCGGGGACGUUACAAG
ensembl:lncRNA